rnacentral:rRNA from 1 species
UACGUAGGGUGCAAGCGUUAAUCGGAAUUACUGGGCGUAAAGGGUGCGCAGGCGGCGCGGCAAGUCAAAGGUGAAAUCCCCGGGCUCAACCCGGGAACAGCCUGUGAAACUGCCGGGCUGGAGUGUGUCAGAGGGGGGGGGAAUUCCACGUGUAGCAGUGAAAUGCGUAGAGAUGUGGAGGAACACCGAUGGCGAAGGCACCCCCCUGGGAUAACACUGACGCUCAGGCACGAAAGCGUGGGGAGCAAACAGG